rnacentral:rRNA from 1 species
CCUACGGGAGGCUGUAGUCGGGAAUAUUGCGCAAUGGAGGAAACUCUGACGCAGUGACGCCGCGUGCAGGAAGAAGGUUUUCGGAUUGUAAACUGCUUUAGACAGGGAAGAAAAAUGACAGUACCUGUAGAAUAAGCUCCGGCUAACUACGUGCCAGCAGCCGCGGUAAUACGGAGGGAGCAAGCGUUAUCCGGAUUUAUUGGGUGUAAAGGGUGCGUAGACGGGAAAACAAGUUAGUUGGGAAAUCCCUCAGCUUAACUGAGGAACUGCAACUAAAACUAUCUUUCUUGAGUGCUGGAGAGGUCAUCGGAAUUCCUUGUGUAGCGGUGAAAUGCGUAGAUAUAAGGAAGAACACCAGUGGCGAAGGCGGAUGACUGGUCGGCAACUGACGGUGAGGCGCGAAAGCGUGGGGAGCAAACAGGAUUAGAUACCCCAGUAGUC